rnacentral:rRNA from 1 species
CCUACGGGAGGCAGCAGUGAGGAAUAUUGGUCAAUGGUCGGGAGACUGAACCAGCCAAGCCGCGUGAGGGAUGAAGGUACAGAGUAUCGUAAACCUCUUUUGUCAGGGAACAAAGGCGGGGACGCGUCCCCGGAUGAGUGUACCUGAAGAAAAAGCAUCGGCUAACUCCGUGCCAGCCGCCGCGUGAAUACGGAGGAUGCGAGCGUUAUCCGUAUUUCUUGGGUUGAAAGGGUGCGCAGGCGGUCUGUUAAGUCAGCGGUCAAAGCCCGGGGCUCAACCCCGGCCCGCCGUUGAAACUGGCAGUCUCGAGUUGGAGAGAAGUAUGCGGAAUGCGCGGUGUAGCGGUGAAAGGCAUAGAUAUCGCGCAGAACUCCGAUUGCGAAGGCAGCAUGCCGGCUCCACACUGACGCUGAGGCACGAAAGCGUGGGUAUCGAACAGGAUUAGAUACCCUUGUAGUC